rnacentral:rRNA from 1 species
UACGUAGGGGGCAAGCGUUGUCCGGAUUUAUUGGGCGUAAAGAGCGUGUAGGCGGCUUUACAGGUCCGUUGUGAAAACUCGAGGCUCAACCUCGAGACGCCGGUGGAAACCGUAAAGCUAGAGUCCGGAAGAGGAGAGUGGAAUUCCUGGUGUAGCGGUGAAAUGCGCAGAUAUCAGGAGGAACACCCGUGGCGAAAGCGGCUCUCUGGGACGGUACUGACGCUGAGGUGCGAAAGCGUGGGAGCAAACAGGAU